AUGGCGACCCCUUCAGACACACGCUCGGCAGCGAGUGGCGGGUCUCGAGGUGGAAAAACGGAUGACCUAGAUGAUUUCUUCGAGCAUAUUUACCUAGAAGAUGAGGUGUUCGAUGAUUUGGUGAUUGAAGAGGAAAUUCCAGAGAUCAAUAACCGUGUAUGACGUAUGGCUCUUGCUCGGGUUCACACUGAUAAGACCUUUAGCCAGUCGGCGUUCUUCAAGGACAUGCGGGUAGCUUGGAACCUGGCGCAUCAGGUGAGAUUCCGGCGAGUUGGUGCCAAUCUGUUUGUGGUGCAGGCUUCAUGCCUUGGCGAUUGGGAGCGGAUCCUUCCAGGGCCAUGGCUUUUUAGAUUUUGGGUUGUGCUUCUUGACCCAUACGAUCGAUUCAGUAGGGUGGAGGAUGUUUAGUUCAUUCAUAUUCCCAUUUGGUUG
rnacentral:rRNA from 1 species